rnacentral:rRNA from 1 species
UGGAGAGUUUGAUCCUGGCUCAGGACGAACGCUGGCGGCGUGCUUAACACAUGCAAGUCGAACGGAAAGGCCCUUNGGGGUACUCGAGUGGCGAACGGGUGAGUAACACGUGGGUGAUCUGCCCUGCACUUUGGAAUAAGCCUGGGAAACUGGGUCUAAUACCGAAUAUGACCAUGCACUUCCUGGUGUGUGGUGGAAAGCUUUUGCGGUGUGGGAUGGGCCCCCGGCCUAUCAGCUUGUUGGUGGGGUAAUGGCCUACCAAGGCGACGACGGGUAGCCGGCCUGAGAGGGUGACCGGCCACACUGGGACUGAGAUACGGCCCANACUCCUACGGGAGGCAGCAGUGGGGAAUAUUGCACAAUGGGCGCAAGCCUGAUGCAGCGACACCGCGUCAGGGAUGACGGCCUUCUGGUUGUAAACCUCUUUCAGCACAGACGAAGCGCAAGUGACGGUAUGUGCAGAAGAAGGACCGGCCAACUACGUGCCAGCAGCCGCGGUA